UACGGAGGGGGCUAGCGUUGUUCGGAAAUACUGGGCGUAAAGCGAACGUAGGCGGCUUGGCAAGUCAGGGGUGAAAUCCCAGUGCUCAACACUGGAACUGCCUUUGAAACUGCCAGGCUUGAAUCCUGGAGAGGCGAGUGGAAUUCCGAGUGUAGAGGUGAAAUUCGUAGAUAUUCGGAAGAACACCAGUGGCGAAGGCGACUCGCUGGACAGGUAUUGACGCUGAGGUAGAGA
rnacentral:rRNA from 1 species